UACGUAGGGGGCGAGCGUUGUCCGGAUUCAUUGGGCGUAAAGCGCGCGUAGGCGGCUUCGCAAGUCGGCCGUGAAAUCUCCAGGCUCAACUUGGAGGGGUCGGGCGAGACUGCGGGGCUCGAGGUGGGCAGAGGGCAGUGGAAUUCCGGGUGUAGUGGUGGAAUGCGUAGAGAUCCGGAGGAACACCAGUGGCGAAGGCGGCUGCCUGGGCCUGGCCUGACGCUGAGGCGCGAAAGCCAGGGGAGCGAACGGG
rnacentral:rRNA from 1 species